AGACAGCAGACCAUAUGUGUGCAUAGGGAUAGGUUGAGAGAGAAUUUAUUUUAAGGCCAAUGCUUUAUUUUCUGACAGUUCUGGGAGGCAAUUCACACGCAGAAGUUAUUCUUGAAGGGAUGAUGUUUGCGGAGCUGGGAACACUGACUCACUCCUGCCGUCCUCGCAGGCUCCAAGGCRUGAUGCAGAGGAGACAAGCUGAGGAUGGAGAGAAACUUAACAAACCUGCCCUAGAGAAACCAAGUACUCUAAAGUAGCCCACAAAAAUUUCAGCCUGUUCCAUGCUGAAAAUAGGGCUYGGGCCCUUGUAGGGCAGAGACUCGUCAGGAAGGCCUCCACGGCCCUGGCACGCUGGACAGGGGAGUCUGCAAGUCUCUGGUUUGUGUCAGCUGUUUGUGUGCCCCAGGGGACACUGCACUGACCUUAUUGCGUCUGGUCGCUCUCGCUACCAACUACAGGGCUCCUCGGCGGGAUUAAAAGUGGAUUUUUCAGC
rnacentral:lncRNA from 1 species